AAGGGCUGAGGACCCACAAGUGUCCCAGCUGGCACGCGCGAGCUCCACUGAAGUUCGAUACACCACUGCUUUUAGCGAUGAGAAUCCACAAGCAUGUUCUAUCAUGUGAUCGACUGCGAUAAGAUAAAAAUUAUUGGGUGUUGUUAAUUAAUUUGGAAUUUAGGGUUAAUUCUUAUAGGUUUGGUGAUUUUGCUUUUUUGUAUGGGUGUUUUUGCAAUUAUUUAGUUUGUUUUGUGAGGUUCAAUUCUGUAUUAUUAGAACCUUUUAGUAAAAAAGAAACAAAUUAUCCUUGUAUAAAGUGUUAAAUUUUAGAAUGUGUUUAAUAG
rnacentral:misc_RNA from 1 species